GUGCGGUUGUACAAAACGUCCAUGGAUAUAGUUUGGAGCUGUUAAGGUGAUGGCAAAAGAUCUUAUCUGAACAAGGCAUCAAAUUACAAAAUUUCAUGCACUCAACUCACAACUCCAAGGUGUAUCUCUUAGAAUUCAGGUUCUCUAACUAGUACUGUAUUUAAAAGCAUGAAUGCUAUGGAGUUUGGUUUUUUUAGCAAUUGGACAAAUUGUUACAAUGAAAAAAAGUUGAAUAAUUAGUGAAAAUUUGGUGUUUCAUUAAUCUAUGAAGACAAUUUAAGUUGUUGGUAUUUAGAUGUAGCCGCAUGUAGGAGAUGAACUAUAUAAUUUGGAAUUGAGUGUAUAAUUGAUUGUAUGAAGCAAAGGGUUCUGGACAAAAGAAACUGUGAAGUGGAAGGGAUUGUUAAAAAGUUUAGUGAUGAUUUGCUGAUAGAAUACCAGAGUUUGGAAAUUUGUCUCUUUAAGAGUGGAAGAAAACCAAUGGAUUGUUAUAUUGUAAAAUCUCAAUAUGUUUAUUGAAGUUUAUGAUGAAUCAGUGUGAAGGUUUUUUUUCCCGGAAAUCUAGCAAGCUAUGAUUAUGCAUCAGUAAGCUCUUGGUUUUUUAUUAUAAUCAGGUCAGUUGGUUCUCCAUUGGUGAAGCUUGCUUAUUUCUCUUAAUUUGGAUGCAGGUAGUCUUGGUGUGUAAUAAUUUAUGCAAAUAAUAGUUGGUACACUGAGAAGAAGUCAAUUGAUUAUGAUAAAAAGAACUAGUUCAUCCGGAAUGAAACCUAUAUAUUGACUGAACAAGAAUCUGAUUAAUUAGAAUAAUGGGUUC